AAGGACGAACGCUGGCGGCGUGCCUAAUACAUGCAAGUCGAGCGAAUGACGAGGAGCUUGCUCCUCUGAUUAGCGGCGGACGGGUGAGUAACACGUGGGCAACCUGCCCUGUAGACUGGGAUAACUUCGGGAAACCGGAGCUAAUACCGGAUAAUACAUUUCACCUCAUGGUGAAAUGUUGAAAGGCGCUUCGGCGUCACUACAGGAUGGGCCCGCGGUGCAUUAGCUAGUUGGUGGGGUAACGGCCUACCAAGGCAACGAUGCAUAGCCGACCUGAGAGGGUGAUCGGCCACAUUGGGACUGAGACACGGCCCAAACUCCUACGGGAGGCAGCAGUAGGGAAUCUUCCACAAUGGACGAAAGUCUGAUGGAGCAACGCCGCGUGAGUGAUGAAGGUUUUCGGAUCGUAAAACUCUGUUGUAAGGGAAGAACAAGUACGUUAGGAAAUGAACGUACCUUGACGGUGCCUUAUUAGAAAGCCACGGCUAACUACGUGCCAGCAGCAGC
rnacentral:rRNA from 1 species